rnacentral:rRNA from 1 species
AGAUUGAACGCUGGCGGCAUGCCUUACACACGCAAGUCGAACGGCAGCACGGACUUCGGUCUGGUGGCGAGUGGCGAACGGGUGAGUAAUAUAUCGGAACAUACCCAGUAGUGGGGGAUAACUAUCCGAAAGGAUAGCUAAUACCGCAUACGAUCUGUGGAUGAAAGCAGGGGAUCUUCGGACCUUGUGCUAUUGGAAUGGCCGAUAUCUGAUUAGCUAGUUGGUAGGGUAAAAGCCUACCAAGGCGACGAUCAGUAGCUGGUCUGAGAGGACGACCAGCCACACUGGAACUGAGACACGGUCCAGACUCCUACGGGAGGCAGCAGUGGGGAAUUUUGGACAAUGGGGGCAACCCUGAUCCAGCAAUGCCGCGUGAGUGAAGAAGGCCCUCGGGUUGUAAAGCUCUUUUGUCAGGGAAGAAACGGAGUUCUCUAAUAUAGGAUUCUAAUGACGGUACCUGAAGAAUAAGCACCGGCUAACUACGUGCCAGCAGCCGCGGUAAUACGUAGGGUGCAAGCGUUAAUCGGAAUUACUGGGCGUAAAGCGUGCGCAGGCGGUUUUGUAAGUCUGAUGUGAAAUCCCCGGGCUCAACCUGGGAACUGCAUUGGAGACUGCAAGGCUAGAGUGUGUCAGAGGGGGGUAGAAUUCCACGUGUAGCAGUGAAAUGCGUAGAGAUGUGGAGGAAUACCGAUGGCGAAGGCAGCCCCCUGGGAUAACACUGACGCUCAUGCACGAAAGCGUGGGGAGCAAACAGG